CUGCAGCCCAGGGCUGGCGGCGACGAGAGGACUGAGGCGGGGGCGCAGCCGGGCAGGCCUGGGCUUUGGGCUGCUGCCUCAGUUUACCAUUUACAUUAGUAAAAUGGAGGCCUUGUUUUAGGAGUAACCUGCUCUGGUGCCUCCACGGACCACUUUGAAUCUAUCGCCUGCACAAAGUUCUUGCAGCCUCAGUUUCUCCAUUUAUUAUAAAGGAGGCAGGAAGAAGCUAGCUCCGGACCGGUUUGAGAAUUCCAUGUAUCAAAAGUGAGUCAAAGGCUAGCACACCCCAAGAGCCCAGCCCGUCGCCACAAGGAGGGGCAGGGUGUAGGUGCCGUCUAUGGUUGUACCCGGCUACACAAGGCAGUCAGAGCAACGUGGGCACUCCCAAAAGUGAGUGUGGGUCAUAGGCUGGAGUAGUUGCCAUAGAAGUGACUGUAGAGGACACUUGUGGAAGCUGGAGCCGGCAGCAGCACCUGCUGCGGGUGGCGUCCGGCGGGGGCCUGGGCAUGAGUCAUUGCCCAGCAAUGAGGCUGAGUCACAGGGCGGGGUCCUCCGGCACCUCCCCCAUCAGCCGCUCCUACAAAGGACCUUUGAGAAGAGUCCUCAUCCCCACCCAACCCCAAGGCCCUCUCUGGUCUUAGUUGUGGGACCAAGGCUGUCCCCAGGAGCCUGGCCUGGGCCUGGGUAUCUGUCACAUAUGUGAAAAGUCACCAUCCAUGGCCUGGCAUACACAAGGAGGGGGGCUUCCUGGUCCCUGAGUCACUGCCAGGAUAGCAGAGGAUAAUUUUCUCAGGCCCCAUGCACACAACAGGCUAAUUGAGUCAGGCUGUCUAAUGCUGGCUGGGAAAGCAGAUGAGAUGAGCGAGGCUUCUCCCUGUUUUUCAGGACCACUCCAGCCUAAGAAGGGCCUUCUCUUCUUCAGACCUUGGAGCCUUCUCAGGCAUGACCCAGACAAGUAUACCAGACCUGGGGACACCUAGAAGCCUCCACAUGGGUGCAAGAUUUAAGAAGGGGCCAGGUAUGGGGGCACAUACCUUUAGUCCUAGUAUUAGUCCUAGUACUCAGGCAAGCUCUCCCUUUGUUGGAAGCUAGCCUGAUUUACAUAUUGAGUGCCAAGCCUGCCAGGGCUGUAAAAUGAGGUUCCGCAGGAGCCUGGAGAGAGCAUCAGCCUCUCUUUUUCCAGAGGACCCAGGUUCACUUCCUAGCACCCACAUGGCUGCUAACAGCCAUCCAGGAUUCCAGCUCCAGGGACUCAAUCAUUUUCUUAGACAUGCACACUGGCAAAACACCCACACUAAAUAAAUACAUAAAUAGAAUUUUAAAAGAGAUUUAAUAAAACAUAAAGGAAAGUUAA
rnacentral:lncRNA from 1 species